GACGAACGCUGGCGGCGUGCUUAACACAUGCAAGUCGAACGGAAAGGCCCUGCUUUUGUGGGGUGCUCGAGUGGCGAACGGGUGAGUAACACGUGAGUAACCUGCCCUUGACUUUGGGAUAACUUCAGGAAACUGGGGCUAAUACCGGAUAGGAGCUCCUGCUGCAUGGUGGGGGUUGGAAAGUUUCGGCGGUUGGGGAUGGACUCGCGGCUUAUCAGCUUGUUGGUGGGGUAGUGGCUUACCAAGGCUUUGACGGGUAGCCGGCCUGAGAGGGUGACCGGCCACAUUGGGACUGAGAUACGGCCCAGACUCCUACGGGAGGCAGCAGUGGGGAAUAUUGCACAAUGGGCGGAAGCCUGAUGCAGCAACGCCGCGUGCGGGAUGACGGCCUUCGGGUUGUAAACCGCUUUCGCCUGUGACGAAGCGUGAGUGACGGUAAUGGGUAAAGAAGCACCGGCUAACUACGUGCCAGCAGCCGCGGUGAUACGUAGGGUGCGAGCGUUGUCCGGAUUUAUUGGGCGUAAAGGGCUCGUAGGUGGUUGAUCGCGUCGGAAGUGUAAUCUUGGGGCUUAACCCUGAGCGUGCUUUCGAUACGGGUUGACUUGAGGAAGGUAGGGGAGAAUGGAAUUCCUGGUGGAGCGGUGGAAUGCGCAGAUAUCAGGAGGAACACCAGUGGCGAAGGCGGUUCUCUGGGCCUUUCCUGACGCUGAGGAGCGAAAGCGUGGGGAGCGAACAGGCUUAGAUACCCCGGUAGUCCACGCUGUAAACGGUGGGUACUAGGUGUGGGGUCCAUUCCACGGGUUCCGUGCCGUAGCUAACGCUUUAAGUACCCCGCCUGGGGAGUACGGCCGCAAGGCUAAAACUCAAAGGAAUUGACGGGGCCCCGCACAAGCGGCGGAGCAUGCGGAUUAAUUCGAUGCAACGCGUAGAACCUUACCUGGGUUUGACAUGGAUCGGGAGCGCUCAGAGAUGGGUGUGCCUCUUUUGGGGUCGGUUCACAGGUGGUGCAUGGCUGUCGUCAGCUCGUGUCGUGAGAUGUUGGGUUAAGUCCCGCAACGAGCGCAACCCUUGUUCACUGUUGCCAGCACGUUAUGGUGGGGACUCAGUGGAGACCGCCGGGGUCAACUCGGAGGAAGGUGGGGAUGACGUCAAGUCAUCAUGCCCCUUAUGUCCAGGGCUUCACGCAUGCUACAAUGGCUGGUACAGAGAGUGGCGAGCCUGUGAGGGUGAGCGAAUCUCGGAAAGCCGGUCUCAGUUCGGAUUGGGGUCUGCAACUCGACCUCAUGAAGUCGGAGUCGCUAGUAAUCGCAGAUCAGCAACGCUGCGGUGAAUACGUUCCCGGG
rnacentral:rRNA from 1 species